GACGAACCGUGCGAACGUUGUUCGGAUUCACUGGGCUUAAAGGGCGCGUAGGCGGCCAUGCGUGUCUUCCGUGAAAUCCCUCGGCUUAACUGAGGACGUGCGGAAGAAACUGCAAGGCUCGAGUCCGGGAGAGGGGGGUGGAAUUCCCAGUGUAGCGGUGAAAUGCGUAGAUAUUGGGAGGAACACCGGUGGCGAAGGCGGCCCCCUGGACCGGUACUGACGCUGAGGCGCGAAAGCGUGGGUAGCAAACGGG
rnacentral:rRNA from 1 species